CCGUAAAUAACGAAAUGAAAUGAAACGAAAAUGAAAUGAAAUGUACCCCCUAUCUGUUUUUGCACACUCACUGAAAUGAAAAAGAAGUGAAAAAUU
rnacentral:ribozyme from 1 species